UACGGAGGGUGCAAGCGUUAAUCGGAAUUACUGGGCGUAAAGCGUGCGUAGGCGGUUCGUUAAGUCUGUUGUGAAAGCCCCGGGCUCAACCUGGGAAUGGCAAUGGAUACUGGCGAGCUAGAGUGUGUCAGAGGAUGGUGGAAUUCCCGGUGUAGCGGUGAAAUGCGUAGGAGAUCGGGAGGAACUCAGUGGCGAAGGCGGCCAUCUGGGACACACUGACGCUGAGGCACGAAAGCGUGGGGAGCA
rnacentral:rRNA from 1 species